rnacentral:rRNA from 1 species
CAGCCGCCGCGGUAAUACCGGCGGCCCGAGUGGCGGUCACUAUUAUUGGGCUUAAAGCGUCCGUAGCCGGGUUGGGAAGUCCUCCGGGAAAUCUGGCCGCUUAACGGUCAGAAUGCCGGAGGAUACUCCCAGCCUAGGGAGCGGGAGAGGCCGAGGGGAUUCCCGGGGUGGGGGCGGAAUCCUAUAAUCCCAGGAGGACCACCAGUGGCGCAGGCGCCCGGCUGGCACGCGCCCGACGGUGAGGGACGAAAGCUGGGGGAGCAAAGGGGAUUAGAUACCCCCGUAGUCCCAGCUGUAAACGAUGCGGGCUAGAUGUUGGGCGGGCCUCGAGCCCGCCCAGUGUCGUAGGGAAGCCGUUAAGCCCGCCGCCUGGGGAGUACGGCCGCAAGGCUGAAACUUAAAGGAAUUGGCGGG